ensembl:snoRNA SNORD58 Small nucleolar RNA SNORD58
CUGCUGUGAUGACCAUCUUAGGACACCUUUGGAUUAAAGAUGAAAACAACACUCUAAAAUUCUGAGCAGC